rnacentral:rRNA from 1 species
GACGGGGCCCGCACAAGCGGUGGAGUAUGUUGGUUUAAUUCGACGCAACGCGCAGAACCUUUACCUGGUCUUGACAUCCCGAGAAUUUUCUGGAAACAGAGAAGUGCCUCGCAAGAGGAAUUCGGAGACAGGUGCUGCAUGGCUGUCGUCAGCUCGUGUCGUGAGAUGUUGGGUUAAGUCCCGCAACGAGCGCAACCCUUGUCUUUAGUUGCCAUCAUUAAGUUGGGCACUCUAAAGAGACUGCCGGUGUCAAACCGGAGGAAGUGGGGAUGACGUCAAGUCCUCAUGGCCUUUAUGACCAGGGCUACACACGUACUACAAUGGCAGGUACAAAGGGCAGCCACUUAGCGAUAAGGCGCGAAUCCCGUAAAACCUGUCUCAGUCCGGAUUGGAGUCUGCAACUCGACUCCAUGAAGUUGGAAUCGCUAGUAAUCGCAGAUCAGCACGCUGCGGUGAAUACGUUCCCGGGCCUU